rnacentral:rRNA from 1 species
UACGGAGGGAGCUAGCGUUGUUCGGAAAUACUGGGCGUAAAGCGCACGUAGGCGGCGCAGCAAGUCAGGGGUGAAAUCCCGGGGCUCAACCCCGGAACUGCCCUUGAAACUGCAGUGCUAGAAUCUUGGAGAGGCGAGUGGAAUUCCGAGUGUAGAGGUGAAAUUCGUAGAUAUUCGGAAGGACACCAGUGGCGAAGGCGACUCGCUGGACAAGUAUUGACGCUGAGGUGCGAAAGCGUGGGGAGCAAACAGG